UCACCUUUGUCAUCAUCUAUCGGUUAGAAGCAAGUCACAGGUCUUGCCCACACUCAGUGAGAGGGAUUACAUGAAUGUGUGACCACCAGGAGAUGGUAACAAUUGGGGUCAUGAGGGGAUAUGACUGCUACAAUCUCCCAUCAUCAAAAACAAAAACAGGAAUCUGGCUGCUCCUCCUUGCUGUCUUUUGCUCAUGAAGCUGCCUAAAGGGUGACUCAGCACUAUGCAACUUCCAGGUACCAACUAUGAGAUGCCAAAGUCCAUCCAAAGGAUGGACCCAAGGCUACUGGAUCUUAAGGUUUCAGACAAGUGUGUGAGACUUUGUACAUGAAGUUGGAGAAUGCCUCACUCUCUACCCUGUACAGGGUUGUGAUCCAGAGCUGGAUUUCAGACCCCUGUUUCUACAGGAACUCUAAACAAGCCCAGACACUCGGCUGGGAAGUGAGAGACUCAAAACAACGUGAGAAGUAGAAAGCGGGCAAGUUUGUUGGGGCCAUAUGUAACUUCAUGAAUAUCACUGUUUCAAGGACUAAGUUAUAAGUUUUACCCUUUUCAGAUAAGGAAAACAGAGUGUGAGUGGGGUUAGAAAGAGGAAAAACAGCAAGCCAAGUUGAAUCACUCAUCCUGAGAGGCAUUCAAAUACAGAGUUAUGGAGAAAGCGACUUUCCUCCACAAGGGUAAACCCCUCAACAGCAGCUGGUAAACCUCAGUCCACAGCGCAGAGUCAACCGUCAGCCAACUCAUAGCUGAAGCAGGGACACUGUGCAGCUCUUGGAGCUUGUUCUUAGUAUGUGUUCAGAGGGCUAAUACUCUGUCAAGCAGGGCGGAUGAUAGCCAGAGCAAACAGCCACGGUCCCCACGGUGGAAAAUAACGU
rnacentral:lncRNA from 1 species